rnacentral:rRNA from 1 species
GACGAACGCUGGCGGCGUGCCUAAUACAUGCAAGUAGGACGCAGUUGCGAACGGGUGCGUAACGCGUAGGUAACUACCUAUUAGAGGGGGAUAACUAUUGGAAACGAUAGCUAAUACCGCAUACUAGUAGAUGGACCUACGUUUUAUUAGCUAGUAGGUAGGGUAAUGGCCUACCUGGGCGAAGAUACAUAGCCGACCAGACGGGGUGAUCGGCAAAGCUGGGACUGAGACACGACCCAGACCUCUACGGGAGGCAGACGUAGGGAAUCUUCGGCAAUGGGGGGAAACCUGACCGAGCAACGCCGCGGGAGUGAAGAAGUUUUUCGGAUCGUAAAGCGCGGUUGUUAAGGAAGCGGUACUUAACCAGAAAGGGACGGCUAACUACGGGCCAGCAGCCGCGGUAAUUC